UCCAACGCGAGGUGGAAUCUGAAGGAAGCCGGAGGCAAACUUCUGGUCUGACGAACAGGAAUCACAUAAGGCAUCGUAAGCUGGGUAAGGUUGCAUAACAAACUGAAGCCCGAAACUAUCCGGAAGCUUACGGUGUAGAUGUGGCAGAUAGAUGGAAGGAAAGACUGCGCU
rfam:Desulfotomaculum gibsoniae DSM 7213, complete genome.